rnacentral:rRNA from 1 species
CGCGGCCUAUCAGCUUGUUGGUGGGGUGAUGGCCUACCAAGGCUUUGACGGGUAGCCGGCCUGAGAGGGUGGACGGUCACACUGGGACUGAGAUACGGCCCAGACUCCUACGGGAGGCAGCAGUGGGGAAUAUUGCACAAUGGGCGCAAGCCUGAUGCAGCGACGCCGCGUGAGGGAUGAAGGCCUUCGGGUUGUAAACCUCUUUCGUCAGGGAACAAGGCACUGCUUUUUUGGUGGUGUUGAGGGUACCUGGAUAAGAAGCGCCGGCUAACUACGUGCCAGCAGCCGCGGUAAUACGUAGGGCGCAAGCGUUGUCCGGAAUUAUUGGGCGUAAAGAGCUCGUAGGCGGCUGGUCGCGUCUGUCGUGAAAACUUCCGGCUCAACCGGGGGCUUGCGGUGGGUACGGGCCGGCUAGAGUGCGGUAGGGGUAACUGGAACUCCUGGUGUAGCGGUGGAAUGCGCAGAUAUCAGGAAGAACACCGAUGGCGAAGGCAGGUUACUGGGCCGUUACUGACGCUGAGGAGCGAAAGCGUGGGGAGCGAACAGGAUUAGAUACCCUGGUAGUCCACGCCGUAAACGUUGGGCACUAGGUGUGAGGCUCCUUUCCGGGGGUUUUGCGCCGUAGCUAACGCAUUAAGUGCCCCGCCUGGGGAGUACGG